UACAGAGGUCUCGAGCGUUGUUCGGAUUCAUUGGGCGUAAAGGGUGCGUAGGCGGCGGGGUAAGUCUGAUGUGAAAUUCCAGGGCUCAACCUUGGGACUGCAUUGGAUACUGCCUUGCUAGAGAACUGGAGAGGAGACUGGAAUUUACGGUGUAGCAGUGAAAUGCGUAGAGAUCGUAAGGAAGACCAGUGGCGAAGGCGAGUCUCUGGACAGUUCCUGACGCUGAGGCACGAAGGCCAGGGGAGCAAACGGG
rnacentral:rRNA from 1 species